UCCUUGUUUCCAAGGCAGUCUCGUUAGAGUGCUCCCGAAGGAUAGCAACUAACGACAGAGGUUGCGCUCGUUAAAGGACUUAACCCAACAUCUCACGACACGAGCUGACGACAGCCAUGCAGCACCUGUUCAUUUGUCUCGGUUACCCGAGAAAGAGACAUCUCUGCCCCGUUCAAAUGUAUGUCAAGCCUAGGUAAGGUUCCUCGCGUAGUGUCGAAUUAAACCACAUGUUCCACCGCUUGUGCGGACCCCCGUCAAUUUCUUUGAGUUUUAGUCUUGCGACCGUACUCCCCAGGCGGAUCACUUAUCGCGUUAGCUACGAUACCAAGCUCCUCAAGGGAACCUGACAUCCAGUGAUCAUCGUUUACGGCGUGGACUAC
rnacentral:misc_RNA from 1 species